CAUUAACUAACUAACUAACUAACAAUAAUGGGUAUGCAUAUUUUUUUUCGAAACUGAAUAAACCUCCUCUACAAAUGGCUUGUCAGCACGGCUUAAUCAAUUAUUCGAAAUUCAGCAUUUCUAAUCAUGGGGUAGAAAAAGUGUUAUCAUAUCUGCGACCAUUAUAUACGGUAUCUGAAUAUAAAAUAAUAACACUGUGAGCGCGGCAGCCAAUCUAUCGGACAGAGCCCCGCGAUGGACGAGCGGCAUCAGGGAUGAUCAGUACCCCAUAUCAAGAAUAUACUUCGCUUAGCGAAAAAAAUCUAUACUGGUGGCUAAAGCAGAGGGCAGAUCGCUGCUAUCGCAAAAACAACGAACGCAUGUCUAGAUGUGCGUGCGUCCCGUUCUAAUUACGAUCUAGUGGCAAAUACGUUAUUACGAGCAACAAGUGCAGUGAAUCGAUAAUUUAGAUAAUAAAGCAUCCUUAAUGAACGCAAUCGGACAAAAUUUCCAUCUGUAAAUGACGCAGCGGAUAUGUAUGUCCUCGUUUCGACCAUGCGUCCAUCCUGAAGAAUGACAGUGUCCGUGGCGAGCAGAAGAAAGAUUUGCUUUAUCCGAAAGCAUGGACGUUUUUUUCUUGUUUAUGCAAGUUGCUACGCCAUUUAAUCACCUCAGAUACUGUUCAGAUAGUCAUGGACAAUCAAUAGACGUUUCGAGUUAUGCGUCCGGUACUAGCGUUAAGCACUGCUUGAGGUGACUGGCUGCAAGUGUGGAGCGAAGCGCGUCCACGUCAGGCUUCAGACCAGCGGAUUCAAAUUCCAUGUAUCAACAAGCUGAAGGCUAAAAAAUAAGCUAUACGAACAACGUCUGCUACAUAGAUUUCGAUUUUCUCUCCAAAGCAGUCCUAUUGCCUGUGUGUAAUUUCCAAAUCAGUAAUUAUCUUUCGAAUAUGUCACCGUCGUUGACACUGUGCGUGUGACACGUAAACGCAUUGGACACACAUUUCAGGCUAUAUGUUUUCAACCAGACAGGUAGUAUGGGCUGGUCGACGUGAGCCUUACCGAUCGCUUGAUUAGUCCACGUGUUCCUGUCGUUUCCAGCGUGUAAUUACGGGCCGCUACCGAAUCAGCUGAAAGUAACGGGUAAUUUCUAGCAGCGGAUUUAUAUUUGGCUGUUCAGCUUGUAACGAAAACGUAGGAAAGUUUUCACGUUUAAGCCUCAAUCAUUUAAAGUAACGUGUUAAAGACCAACGGUGUACGAGCAAACUUCAACGUAACAGUAACAACUAACAGAGGGAUAUUAAUGACUAAACUGAACUAUGUUUAUUAUAUAAUAAAUUAUAUACUCAGUGUCUCGUUUUUGGACUGACGCUGGCGGAUGGCGAGGUCGAUUCUUCGCAUUGUGAUGCGGCAUCAAAAUCAAGGUCGAUUAGCAUCACUACAACGAUCACACCGAAACGGAUCAUCUUCCCAGUCCGAUGUGACAUUUCCGGUCGAAACGUUUGCUUACGGCAGUAAAGCGCUUGUGUCAAGGGUGUCUUGCUCUCGUUUUAUGUCAGUUAUUCUCUGUUUAGAGCGGCCAACGUUAAGCGACAAAGGUCGAAGGCACGCUACGUAUAUGCUUUAAAGCUACAUCACGGAACUGAAACGCCGCCAUUCAAGAAUAAUUUCGCAUCUGUCACCAGAACGUAAGCUGUUGGCCCGAACGGAGCAAAGCGGUCGGAUGAGAAAGCGAAGGAGGCCGACAAUUUGAAAUCAUUAAUCCGAAUUCAGACGGCGUAACCAAAGCAGAGGCCGGUUCAUCAGAUCAGGUACGGGGAGCCUUGAGUAAUAAUCCUAUAAAAGGAAGUGAUACUCACUGAGAAGCUUGAUUCUACAUUUGUAUUUAGAUCGCAUUCUACAGAGAAGACAAUACGUGUGCAAUAAUGCCGAUAAUAGUAGAAAUAUUAAGAAAUUUGAAUACUAGAUAUUCGAUAAAUGAUCCUUGUUGAUACAGUAAAUCUCAGCGCUGCUACUGUGUCCCUGCCUUUUACUAAUUAUUUCAUAAUCGCUGCACGCCAAUACGACAGUGCAUACCGACAGACUCGUCAAUACAAGAACCUGUUCUGUAACCUAAGUACAAAGAUAUUGCCAAAUGAGGACGUUACGUAAAACAAUAGUUCGAUUGUAUUAUUUAUUACAUGACGGUAAUGCGAGCAGAAUGACAGUGUAUAUAGUCUUCACUCGUUCUCCCGAAUGGCGCUCGUCGAGCAAACGACAUUCGUUCUUCUAAACGUUCCAUCUAUUUUCGGCUAUGACGUCCGCAUGUAUGAAGAUACCCUCAGCAUCUAACACUAGCUUUCAUAGAGCUUAAUAAUAGCGCUACAAAUUAUACCGCUGUGUAUAGACUAACAUCGAUUCUCUUAUCUUGUCGCGAGGCGUCCAUCCCCCAAAUCAAACAACAAGAAGUAUUGCUAUAUAGAAAAACGCUUCAUAUAACAUGUCGAAUAGUGCAGAAUUAGCCACUUACCUAAUAAGCACGAAGAGCUUGUUAACUUUAGUUACUUUAACUAUAGCUACUCAGUUGUCCUUAUUUUAUAAACAGAAGAUCGAUAGUUAUCGGUCUUAAUUAAUAUGUACGGUUAGUUUCGCACGAGCAAGGUAAGGCUGGCCAGUUAUUUCCAGUGACAAAGAUUACCCGCAAUGCAUCAAGGUCGGCUAAGAUCAAGAUUUAAACUUAUCUUCAAUUGGGUAUGGAAGAAUCGCGUUCGUUUGUUGAUUAUCAGUGUUGUCUUUCAGCAUCGAGGCACUCAUUCAUGGCUAUUGACAUACUUCAAGAUAUAUUCGACCAGACAGGAAGCCAAUUAGCGACACCGUAAUGCUAUUAAAUAUUUCAAGCUUGACAUUUUGUAUUAGAACUACGACACAUAUAGCCGCAUAUGACAACAAUCAAUCCCCUGUCCAUAUAUUGACCCAAUAAAGCAAAUACAUAGCACGUCUUCGCCUUUCUUUUAGACUGAAAUCGAAAACAUUUCAGUGCACAGUAAUACAUAACAGUCACUUGACGGCAACAAAACUAGGCCAAGCUUCGAAUAUAGUUCUUGCUUGUCGCCUACAGCAGGACGAAAUAUAAAAUUCUUACUACGGGAAUGUAGCACGUUGAGUGGCGUACGACUUGAUAUCUUAAGCACGACCUAAUCAGCGCGUAGAGAGAUCUCUAUGGAAGGGAAAAUGUCCAGGAGGCUGUUGUCCAGAUGACGUCCACGACGAUCUGAGAUCCGCUAAAACUUCAAUGCUUCUCAGUUGCUCCGUAUUUGGGACAUGGCUACUACAGAGUAGGAUAGAACUGGGUAAUUUGUCUCUACUCCAGAUUCGAGCGGAUCAAACACAUCGUUCAUUUAGAUUUUUGUCACUAUAAUAGACCCUCUUAGAUCGUUAUGUAGGACCCUGACCGGUUAGGAAAGAUAGGGCUAAGUGGGAUACAGUAUAAAAAUCAGUAAAAACGUUGUAUUAAUGCUGCAUUUUCAAUAACGACAUCUUACCCAUAAUUCAUCGGAGUCAAUCAUAUCUUUAAGUGGUCAAAUCUCUAGGCUGGGUCUUAAAGCCCAUCACAUUAAGUACUACUGUAUGUAUGUCAUGAUAGUUCUGUGUACUUCCUCAAUACUCUCAUCGUUAUAUAGAAGGUGUGGUUUCUUUGCGCAGUAUAUGCAUACAAUUGUACGUAUCAUCGCGUAAUAGCCUAUGCAACGAUGCGUUUCCAAAUUAACAGAUAAAAUCUGAACUGCAAUAGCCGUAAUUACCAGCAAUAGCUCUAAAAUCUAGUUAAUCUAGUCCAAUAAUAACGUAUAAAACACUAAUCGCUUUUUCAAUCGAAGUUCCGCGCGGUGCUUGAGGGCCGGGCCCGUCUUCAUCGUCAUCCUACAGUUCUUUAGAGCAAUUCAGAUAAGUCAAAUGACAUCAGCAGUAAUCUGUGACAGAUCAGAUGGUUAGCGAGGGCUUAGAGGAUCGAAACGGCUUGAUGAUUUGUGAACCCAUCGAUAACAAAACAGCCCAUGAACGUUCCUUACUUACUCUUGCAUCCUCAAAAUGUCCUGUACAUAUCCUAUCAAACAUCGGUUUACGGUGUACAUGUGGAUGAUUCUGAACUGUGAUCAUCCAUAUUCCAGGUCAACGAAAUAGCUUAACUCCGUCAGCUACAGUCGGUGUUGCAGCGCACCAUAUAUUAUACACUAUUCCUUUACCAUCUAUUGUGGGCACUGAUGGGCGUACGGAUGGCUGCUAGGUCACCAAACUCUCCUUCUCCACCAUUGAAUAAUUCCAUCAUCAACCGAACGACCAACCAAUUAAACUAAAGGACCAGUUGCGAGAUCGUAUACUUACCCCUUGGCGGCCCCAGCUUGGCUAGUUGCUCAAGGGCCGUCGUCUUCAGGCUUGCUUAGGUCGUAUCCAUGGCAAGAUAGCGAUUGGUGGUCGUAGUACGAUCCGUAGUAGACUUGUAGUGGCAGUCGUGGUUGUAAUAGCAGCAAUAGUGUAGCACAGACGUCGACGUCGUAUUACAAUCGACAUUAGUGUGACCACUUACUGCAAUAGCUCCCUUGACUUUGGCGCAGUUCACCGUUUCAGCCUCAGCCUUGCCGCCAGCGUUUAGCCGUGAAAUGCUGUACACGCGCGCUAUUGCGAUUACACUUUGGCGGCAGCGGUGGCGGCAGCGGCGGUCACUGAACUGUCGACGGCGACGUCAACACUAAAAGCGAUAAUCGUUCGCCGUUGGUCUUGUCUUGCUUAGGUUCACCACAUCACCUUAUAAUAGCACUCUGCAUCUAAUGAGUACCAUCGAAUCCAUUACCGAUAUUCCACCAACAUCAGUUCAUAAUGCACGACGACGCAUCGCGACCGCGCUGCUUGAUCGCGCCUUUGGUACCAAACAGAGACGAGAAACGGCGUAACAUACAUAGGGACCCAGUCGGCUUCGAUCUGAAAUGAGCUGACGGUUUACACCAGCACUUCCGCUUUCGACUUCCUCCUAUCAGACGGUUGCUCGCUGUACUCUUAAAGUUUUCCACAGAAAAACGCUCUACAAUACCGACGGCUAUACCACCAUUAGCCACACCGACUUCUUGACUGGUCCAAUUUUUAGAACGCCAUAAUAACUGUGCGCAGAGGCAUAUUUACGGACGCAGCAGCUGCUAACACCGUCGUUAGUAAGCUCGAGCUGUCUCUGAUUGGCCUGCCGCUGCUGGGGGAAUUGGAGCCGCAACAUCUCAGCUCGUACUCGACUCACAGGCGAGUCUGAUACUGUUCGCGCUCCUGUAUCGGUGCUCAAACUUUCACGGUCCGCCCCGCUACUGCCUGCCUAGCGUUGGAUAAGCGAGUGCACCAAUGGCCAAAAAGCCAACUUCUACACAGUCAAAGUACACACCAACCCACAAGACGUCGCUCUUCUCGGUCCAGUGUUUACGUUCACUCUUGGAGAAAACUAGAUGCCAAGCAAAGACCGGCAACUAGAAACGCUUGCUCCAGGUUAGAUGUUUCCUGACAGAAGGUAAAUGAGCCCCGCCAAAACGAGGCGCAGUAUUCUAUCGACGACCAAUGGCUGGCCAGUGCAAUGUUAGCGCUGUGCUAGCCAGUUAACGCGACGCGCAACGUGAAGAGAGCGCGGAAAGUGACGCGAGCUAACGGCAGAAAAAGGGAGGACGACGUGUGCGUUCGUGAAGAAGAAACGUCAGAUUGACGUUCGCAAGACUUUUGUCGGAACGGGGAAGACAGCUGAGACGUAAGGUACAUCACUGUUUAUUUCGAACAUGGACUCAAGUAAAAGCGACGCUAAUCGAGUGAAAAUCGCCGUAACCUUUAACUGGUGGUUAUACACAGAGGGAUCUUGUAUCCUUGAUUUUGAAGAAUCCCCUAGAAUCUAGGUCGAUUCAAAUCUGCACUGAACAACUCUGUUUCAGGGAGCACAGUCGCGUGUGAAAGCGACAAAUGAGUCAGCUGAUAGCCAACAGUUAUGAGAUACAGGCCGCGUCGCUACGCGUCGAGGAGCGAAAGGUCGCUCGAACGCUCGGAUGUUUGUUGAGAUUCGUAAGCGUGUUCUGAGCUGUUGCCACCGGUGGUGCCAAAUCGCCGCCGAACUCGGUGGCUUCCUUUGGCUAUUGGGCAGUCUCCUCACCGGCCGAAGCAGCAGUAGCGCUACAGGCUCUGUGGCUCACCUUGAUUCAUCAGUAGCGCCAAAGGGUAUUCGAAGGGAGCAGUGAAUCUGGGCUGGAGCUCCCGCAGGGUGCCGGUAAGAAGUUAAGUAAGGCAGAAAAAAGACAUAGUCAGGGCGGCAUCAGCAGGCAGAUUAGCGAGCGGACCUUAUUCUUACAUUCGUUCAUUGAAGUUAGUGUAAGUGUGCAUCGACGAGCGACGUCUAUAGGUUAGCAGGAGUGAGCUGGAGUGAAUCGUGCCUGACCAGCGGCGCACACAGCGACAGCAGCGAACAGCUUGAUUUGAAAUGUCUUUUCAUAACGGUAGUGCUGGCAAAACUGUUGGUAUCCCUGAUAUUCAACAGUUGGCCGUACCGUUCCAAGAGAGUCUUAAGAGGCUCGAACUGAACAUGCUUACCUUGCAUAUAGAAGAUGUCUCUGGGAGUUUCUGGAUCUCGGCACAAUAUUUCGUAGGUGGCGGCAGCUAUCAAACCAAUUCAGAAGACCAGGUCAGACUAGUUAGCUGAAAAGUACGUCUCGGCGGCAUUUUUUGAAUUUGGUCACGCAUUCAUCACGUUCACCACGCCCUUCAGUAUCCCGUUUUUGCCGUACCUCGUUCUCCGAAUCCCCUUCGUUCGUUGACAAGCUUAUGAUCUCACGAGUUAGCUGACAGACAUACAUUGCUCUAAAAUUUAGAUCAAGAGUCGUUAGACGCGGCAGGCCAUUCGGUUAUGAUGUUCUUUGCUAUUUUAAGGCCACGUCCCAAUGUAUCCGAAGAGGCCACCCGCAGGAGCGUGUCUGGUAAGUCAAAUUCGUCACCUCCGUUAUCACUACGCCGCUUGAUUCCCAGAAAUCCGUGUACAAAGUUCGAUACCGGGCUUCGAUGUGGUGGGCCGUGAUGGUGGUACGAAUGGUAAUGAUCUGAAACGCGAUAUGUCCUUAAAACGGUCCUGGCGGUAGAAGAAUAUUGGAACUGGCACUGAACAGCGCUGUUGGAACGUUUGUAAUCAAGUUUAAGGUAAACUUACUAAAAAGUUGCAUCAUGGCCGGAAGGACGGACAGAGAAUAGAUGAGCGCAGCGAACAUCACCGUACUUAUGCCUCCGUACCACGGCCAGCCUCCUCCCCAACCACCCCAAGGUCCGAUGGGGCCGCCCCACCCGGGAAUGAUUUGACGAUUGUCGAACAUUACUUGGCCUUCUUGCUUUGCCGUUUCUGUAAAGCGAAGGAAGAGCAUUUACAAUUCGACGUAACAACAUGUGUUCCACCUUCUACGCCGGUGAAGAUAAUUCUGAAGAAAACUAAUACAACGACCCCAUAGACGAAGAGCAACUUAUUUGAAGCCAUCUGCAAACUGGUAAAUACGUUACUCCACUUCAAAGGCAAUUCAACACACUAUGCCUUCACCGAAUGCCACAGCCUGAUGGGAAACAAAUGUUCAAGCAGUAGGUACAACCAUAUGAACCUAGACACACUUGGAAACUCCCAACGAGCCGUACAGCCACGUAUUUAUCUGAUGCUCAACUGGAAUGAAGAACUUCGCCAGCUCUUUGAUCCUCCGUCAGAGGUUUGCACAUCCAGGAAUGAGCGGACAUUAGCGCUGCAGCGGGUUUUCAUCGGCAGGCGAAACGAAGUAAACGUCGACACGCCCUUGUUAACAAGAACCCCUCGUCUUCACGAGGGGGAAAGUUGGCUCUCGUUAAGAAGCCGUCAAUAGAGUACUGUCGUAGAUAAUUGCAAGUUACGUUCAACAGCCCGUGACGACGUGUCUGACGAACACUAUGGGAAUUUGCUGCAAACUAGUGUUGAGAUACUAUAUCUCUAGAACUAAAGAUACUGCGUGAUGAUCAUUUUUGAGAUAACAUGCUGUUAAAGAAAAUAUUUUGAAGGAAAUGUAUCUCUAACAAUUAAUCUUGUUUGCUUUUUGGCACAAAUAUCAGGUGUACGUCGAGAAUUGUUUUAGAAUUUGGCCUUCAUGCAUUUGAUGAAUACUUCCUAACCGUACAAGGAUGCUUAUGUUUUCAGACAAUUAAGUAAGCCUUUUUCUUAGAUCUACCUACCGGGAGCGACGCCAUGGCUUCGUAUUAGCGCAUCUUAGCCCGAUAGCAAUUUUGUCAUGAAAACACAACAAUACAGCUAUAAAUAAAUGAUGAGAAUGUUGUCCGCUAAAAAAUAUCUCAAAUCAGAGAAAAUAAUCGAAGUUCACAAAUAUCAUAAGUUUUUUGUGUUUGCAAUUUUUGUCACCUGACUCUUGCCUAUAAUAAUUGUGGUAUACAUUAGGUAACACUGUUAGUAGUACUUUAAUAUACAGCGUCUCAGUGUAUGCUUUUUUCUCAAGUAAGUACUUAAUUGAUUGAUUAGGCGAUUGUUGAUAAAUCAGCUUUCAAAAAGUAAAGAUGAUUCGUAACGUGACUGGAAAGACUUAGCUAUGCUUGCUUUUAAAAUUUUAAUAAGGAAUUGGAAUACUGGAUACGACCAUAAAAUGUUUUUUUUUUUUUAUAGAGUUUUGCCUGUGCGAGGAUCUGAGCGACACGUCUUAGAGACACGUUAUUGUAUAGGUUCGAACGCUGGGAACCAAUCUUACGGUGAAAUGCCUAACGCUGAUGUCGAACGUAAAACUAGAAAUACAGGGUUUUUUUUUUGUCUAGCUAUUGAAAGUCUUAGGUUUAAAUCUAGAAAAGCUACUUAUCGCAUUGAUUAAAGGCAUACCCAAACAGAGAUGUAUCAAUCACUUAUCUAUAUUGUUCCUUUACAUCGUACAUUAACGUGAAACUUUCAAGAAGCAACCGUUUUGUCUGACGUUGUUGAAUACCAUAAUUGCCACCCUAGAAUUUCAGUAGCUAUGUUUUGAACGAGCCAAUAUUAGCUUUGCCCGAUACAUUUGAUAUAAUACAUAAAGAAAGACGGCCUAACAUGUGGACAUGUGUUUUUUAAGAGUUAACGAAUUGCUUUAUGACUUUUUCAGAGGUAAUCCAUAACGUUAACGUCUGUCAACAUAACGUCCAUAACGUAUUGGCCUGUAAUAAACUACAUGAAUGAAUUGCUACACUAUAUUAAAGGUAAUUUAGAUGAAAGGCCAAUUUACGUAUCUCGUACAAGGCUCUACACUUUGAAUCCCCGACCAGGAACUUACGUUUUACCUUCUCCCAGAGCACGUACUCGUUGAUACCACGCAGGCGAAAUGCGUGACCGUAACGAAAAGAAGCCUCGGUCACAGAUAACGCCGUAUAAGGAU